GACGAACGCUGGCGGCGUGCCUAACACAUGCAAGUAGAACGCUGAAGGAGGAGCUUGCUUCUCUGGAUGAGUUGCGAACGGGUGAGUAACGCGUAGGUAACCUGCCUGGUAGCGGGGGAUAACUAUUGGAAACGAUAGCUAAUACCGCAUAAGAGUAGAUGUUGCAUGACAUUUGCUUAAAAGGUGCAAUUGCAUCACUACCAGAUGGACCUGCGUUGUAUUAGCUAGUUGGUGGGGUAACGGCUCACCAAGGCAACGAUACAUAGCCGACGUGUGAGGUGAUCGGCCUCACUGGGACUCAGACACGGCCCAGACUCCUACGGGAGGUAGCCUAGGUAAUCUUCGGUUGUGGUUGGUAGUCUGACCUAGCUGCGCCCCACUUGGGAAGAAGAUUUUUGGAUCCUAAGCUCUGUUUCUGACAUGAAUGAGUCUGAGAAUGGAAGGACCUGGGUGUGAUUCUUUCUUACGAGAUCGGCACGUCUUGGCCCUGCCGCUGCCGGGGUGGUGAGUUGUCCUGAUCUUGUCUGUAUUGUUUGGUGUCCGGUGCGGGCCUUUGCGCAGUUUGCUAAUUUAUGUGUUCGGUUACCUUGUAGCUUUUGUGUUUUUUUUUGUGUUGUGCUGGUUUGAGUGUGUUUUGGUGUGCUUUUAAGUUGUUUAUUGUAAUGUCUCUGUGUUGGUUGUGUGGCUUUGCUGUGUGUGGUGUGGUGGUUGCUGCUGGUUUGUUGCUGGUGUGACAUGUGUGUGUGUGUGUUGUGUGUGGUGUCUGCUGUUGUGGCUGCUGCCUUGUGGUGGUGAAAAAUGAGAUAUAUGUUGUUUAUUUGUGUGUUGUUUUUUUUGUGUGUUUCUUUUUUUC
rnacentral:rRNA from 1 species